UUCCUCCUUCUGUGGGUUGUUGAAACCUCGUACCUCUGUCACUCGAUGGACACACUCGAUGGGGAUGAGAUCAGCUGCUGCUGGUCUGGAGGUGAUCCAGAUGAGUGCAGAGGGAAGCAGAUUCCCCGCAAUGAGGGAAAAAGACAUGAAGGAGAUCUGAAAGACUGAGUCCUUCAAGUUGACUUUUGUCCAUCAAGUUGAGCUCUCUGAAAGGAAGUGGAAAUAUGAGCUGGAUGUCCUGAUUCUCUUUCCCUUCAGCCCAGUCCAGGAUGAAUUUCUGCACAGAGACUGUUUUUCCGAUGCCAGCGACUCCCUUUGUCAGCACUGUUCUGAUGGGUUUGUCUUGUUCAGAAAUGUUGUACCUGAGAUCAUUUGAAGUGUCUCUUCCCUUGAAUUUUACUGGUGGCUCCAUAGACUGAUCACUCCUCAUGGACACACAGCUGGACUCUGACUGGGGCUCAGAGGUUCGAGGGCAGAACCACAGAAGGUGGAGCCGAGGGGCUAAAGGGAGACAGUGGAGGCGAGGCUGAGGAGAAGGAGAGAGGGAGGCUGAGUGGGACCAUCUGCGACAAAGGAGACUUUGAGCUGGGUAAUGCCAAUGAUGACGAAGGAGACUAGGUGCUGGGCUAAACCAGUGGCAACGGAGAAGACUUGAAGCUGAGCUGUACCAGUGGUGACAAAGGUGACUUGGGACUGGACUGAACCAGCAGAGACAAAGACAACUUGGGACUGGACUAAACUAGCAGAGAUCAAGACGACUUGGGAUUGGACAGGAACAGCGGAGACUGGAGACCUUGAAACAUUUCAUCAUCCAACACAUCAACUAAUUCCUUGGAGACCCAGCUUAUAGCAUGCACUUCAGUGACAGAAGUGUGGGCGGGGCUUCAACCCAUCCCCUCAAACUCCACUAAAAUACCCUGAGUUAUAGAAGGGUCAUGCACCUGUUCAGACUCUACAAUUGGCUUGGGUUCCAGGAAAAAAUUAGCCUCUGGUGUAUGCAAAGUGUGUACAUAUAAACAGUGCUUUCAGAAUCUGAUUGAAAUCGGAUUGGAUUAAUUUGGAUUGUCUUUGUCAGGAAAUCUUUGUUUUAAAAAACAUUUUUUAUUAUUAUUAUAAAAAGGGAACGUUCAAUUUUAUUAUUUUACAAACAUUAUGGGCACGUUACUUUUGAAUGUUCUCUAAACAUUAUGAAACAAGUAAUAACAUUUUAAAUAUGUUGGAUGUUUUUCAGAAAAAAAUUCUAUGAACAGAGUAUAAAUAAUUUUUUGUGCUAGCGUUUUGAGAACAGCAUUAAAAGACCAGAUAACUUUGAAUGAAUUUCUGGAAUAAUAUUUGUUCAAAAUUUUGAGAGAACCUUGUCAGAAUGUUAGCCAAAGUUCUGAGAACGUUCCCUGUUAGCUGGCUACACCUCAUUCAGGUUAUCAUGGGGUGAAUUAUUUUGGGGUGAAUCCGAGCACAGUUGCUGUGUUCAUAUAUGUCUAAACGAACCUAACUAUAGGGAAAAACAAAUGCUCCAAAUUAGCCAAAUGUGACUAUUUAGUUUGAUAAUAUUGUUUUGGUCCAGAAUCAGUUUGAUGGGGAUCAGUAGAUGUUAGUGAAACAUCAGGACUGACAUUCUGGACCAGCUGUGAGAAGGGACCUGAUCUGUUCCUCAACUCUUGAAUUGCAGAGCUUUAUAAUAGUAUUAAUGGUGGCCACUGAGUUUUAAAUGCUUCCAAAAUUUGAUUGCCCAUUUCUAUACUUUGAUAAUAAGUGGAUAUUUGUUUUGUGCCAUAGGUCUCUGUCUGUCUAAACAAAAAUG